rnacentral:rRNA from 1 species
AGCAGCCGCGGUAAUUCCAGCUCCAAUAGCGUAUAUUAAAGUUGUUGCAGUUAAAAAGCUCGUAGUUGAAUUUCGGGAUCAAUAUAUCGGUCGUGCCUUUGGUACGUACUGGUAUCAUUGAUUUCUCCUUUCUGACGAAUCAUGAUGUCAUUAAUUUGGUGUUAUGAGGAGUUAGGACUGUUACUUUGAAAAAUUAGAGUGUUUAAAGCAGGCAUUAGCUUGAAUACAUUAGCAUGGAAUAAUGAAAUAGGACGUUUGACCCUAUUUUGUUGGUUUUUAGGAUCGACGUAAUGAUUAAUAGGGAUAGUUGGGGGCAUUAGUAUUCAAUUGUCAGAGGUGAAAUUCUUGGAUUUAUUGAAGACUAACUACUGCGAAAGCAUUUGCCAAGGAUGUUUUCAUUAAUCAAGAACGAAAGUUAGGGGAUCGAAGACGAUCAGAUACCG